rnacentral:rRNA from 1 species
CUAAGUUUGAUGGCGACCGGCGCACGGGUGAGUAACACGUAUCCAACCUGCCGAUGACUCGGGGAUAGCCUUUCGAAAGAAAGAUUAAUACCCGAUGGCAUAGUUCUUCCGCAUGGUGGAACUAUUAAAGAAUUUCGGUCAUCGAUGGGGAUGCGUUCCAUUAGGUUGUUGGCGGGGUAACGGCCCACCAAGCCUUCGAUGGAUAGGGGUUCUGGGAGGAAGGUCCCCCACAUUGGAACUGAGACACGGUCCAAACUCCUACGGGAGGCAGCAUG